rnacentral:rRNA from 1 species
UUCGCAAUGCCCGAAAGGGUGACGAAGCGACGCCGCGUGUGGGAAGAAGGCCUUCGGGUUGUAAACCACUGUCGGGAGUUAGGAAAUGUAAGGGUGCUAAUAGUAUCCUUACUUGACUAAGGCUCCGGAGGAAGCCACGGCUAACUCUGUGCCAGCAGCCGCGGUAAUACAGAGGCGGCAAGCGUUGUUCGGAAUUAUUGGGCGUAAAGAGCACGUAGGCGGCUAUGUAAGUCGGUUGUGAAAGCCUUCCGCUCAACGGGAGAACAGCAUCCGAUACUACAUGGCUUGAGUGCGGGAGGGGAGAGUGGAACUUCUGGUGGAGCGGUGAAAUGCGUAGAUAUCAGAAGGAACGCCGGCGGCGAAAACGGCUCUCUGGCCCAUAACUGACGCUGAGUGUGCGAAAGCUAGGGGAGCAAACGGGAUUAGAUACCCCGGUAGUCCUAGCCGUAAAC